AAGAGUUAAAAUAUUGUGGGGUUAAAGCAGUGGGGAGGGAAGGGGCAAGGAAGGCUUAUGGUGAUAGGGGUGUCUUUUAUUAGAUGAGCAGAUGGUGUUGGACAGGCAGACUUCUUGGCAUGCAAACUUGGCGUCUGAAUUCAAAGGGAUUCGCUGGCUUGGGGCUGAGAACGACUCCUCGUGGUUGGAUGUGCUGGUGUAAAACUUGAAAAAAAUGAGGGAAAAAAAAUGUGUGGUACCUGCAGCGUGGAGAUGCCACUGAGGGAGCUGGAUAAAACGCACUAUGAGGUGAUACAAGGGGGCAAACAAAUCCUUUGCGCUGAACUAUGGUGUACUUUCACGGCUCCAAAGAGACUGAUGUCCAGCCUGAGCAUCUUUGUGGUGUGAGGGACGGUCUGUGGGUGCUGGGGACCGCUGGGGAAAUGCAGCCACAGAUUUUAAACUGUAUUUCCGGCCAGAAAAAAAAAAAAUGCUCUAUUUUAGUUCUUUUUUCUUUUUACUUUGAGUUUUGUUCUUACUCACUUUUCGUGUCUCGCAACACAGCACAAAAACAUCGCCCAAAGCGCGGCCAAAGAAAGCAUCCAAACCGACGUCUUCUCCGUCACCAAUCCCACGCUCCUUUCCCAAACCUAAUUCCUAUUUUGCACAAUCUCUGCCCUUUUAUGCCCUUUUAUUUUUAUCGCUAAAGUUUACGUGCCGAAAUCAAACUGGAAAAGGUCCCGCAGCGAAGGAGCAGCGUGGGAAAACUCAGCGUGCGAGAAAAAAAAACAACUGGCUUUUCCAGAAAGGGCCGGCAAAGGUGGCCCCUGCUUCUCCCAGCGCCGAGGGUGCCGCGUCCCGGGGAUGCUCUGAGCAUCCCGGCGCGGUGAAGCCUGGCCCGCUGCGAGCGCGGUUUGGACCACGGCUGUGGCUUUUACGCUGAGGAAGAAGGUGUGAAAGAGAUCACCGCCGUCCCCGGCUCUCAGAUGCAUCGCGUCAUUUCCCGGCUUUAAUAAGCGGAAGCAAAACUUGCAGGGAAAUUUUAAAAAAUGCAGCUGGUAACUAAGACUCUUCCCUUAACAAUGCCUCGUACCCGAGCAGCUGACAUUAGCGGGAUUCCUGCGGAAGUUGCUGGAGGGGACAUAGUUUGGUGUUUUUGGUGCAGGAGACAAGAAGGUGGAUGAAGGAAACCCAAAAAAUCCUUUCCCCCGUGGCGCCGGCUGCCGUGGGGUUUCCGCCGCGGGGUUUCCACCUCUCCCCGAGGUGCUGCGUGCCGGCCGAGAGCAGCUGCUUGGGCUGGCUGCUGCUGACCGGGGUGUGCCGUUCUGCCCGAGGGAGCGGGAAAUAACAACGGGAUACUUCAGGUGCUUUGAAGUAAAGAAAAAGAAUGCACUUUUAAAGACUAAUACCAGCAAAAUAAAAACAAAAACAAGAAAGUAAAAGAAAAACUGAAAUAAAAAAUUAAAAAUAAAAAAUUUUUUAAAAAUAGGAAAAAAGAGAAAAUAAAAUAAAAGGAAAGGAAA